rnacentral:rRNA from 1 species
CCUACGGGAGGCAGCAGUAGGGACUUUUCGUCAAUGGGCGCAAGCCUGAACGAGCGAUGCCGCGUGAGUGAAGAAGGCCUUCGGGUCGUAAAGCUCUGUUGCGGGGGAAAAAAGGCAGCAUCAGGAAAUGGUUGCUGACUGAUGUUGCACCGCCAGAAAGUCACGGCUCACUACGUGCCAGCAGCCGCGGUAAUACGUAGGUGGCGAGCGUUCUCCGGCAUGAUUGGGCGUAAAGGGUGCGCAGGCGGUCCUGCAAGUCUGGAGUGAAACGCAUGGGCUCAAAUCAUGCAUGGCUGUGGAAACUGGAGGACUGGAGAGCAGGAGAGGGCGGUGGAACUCCAGGGGUAGCGGUAAAAUGCGUAGAUAUAUCGCAGAACACCAGUGGCGAAGGCGGCCGCCUGGCCUGUUGCUGACGCUGAGGCACGAAAGCGUGGGGAGCAAAUAGGAUUAGAUACCCCUGUAGUC